rnacentral:rRNA from 1 species
ACCUACGGGACGCAGCAGUGAGGAAUAUUGGUCAAUGGGCGGGAGCCUGAACCAGCCAAGCCGCGUGAGGGAAGAAGGUACAGCGUGUCGUAAACCUCUUUUGUCAGGGAACAAAGGCGGGGACUAGUCCCCGGAUGAGGGUACCCGAAGAAAAAGCAUCGGCUAACUCCGUGCCAGCAGCCGCGGUAAUACGGAGGAUGCGAGCGUUAUCCGGAUUUAUUGGGUUUAAAGGGUGCGUAGGCGGAACAUUAAGUCAGCGGUAAAAUCGAGGGGCUCAACCCCUUUAAGCCGUUGAAACUGGUGAU